CUUGAAUGUGUGCCGUACAAUCCAGUUACCCAAAACUAUGCCACUGUUCAGACCAACAUUGAGUUGACUGAUGGCCCAAAGAAUGUCACUAUCUCUGGGCCAAACUCACUACAGGUAGGACUGAAGUCCACUUUUGAGUGCUCAGCUGUCUGCUCCCCACCUUGCGUCUACACAUGGGAGCUCUAUGGGAAAACACUGCAAGGCAGUAAGGUGGAGCUCACCAUCAGCCACUAUGUGGCCACUGAAACCCUGAUAUGCAUAGCAGUGAAUGCCGUCACUGGAAACAUCGCUGCAGCAAAUGAAACACUUGAUGUCACAGAUCCUGACUGGUGCGGUUGCUAAUCUUGGUAAAGAUUAAGAUCAGAUAAAGACCUUUUAUAUACUGAAAGAGGACAUAAUCUAACCUACAAAACAUUACUAGUAAUUAGGGGUGGGGGAAAAAAUCGAUUUUUC